CUGCAGACAAAUAGGCAACAGAUGGAGGGACAGGCUGGCCGGAGUGAGCUGCCCCCAGGCACUUCACCAGGAACCUGGGAACAAGGGGACGAAGGUGCAGCCGAGGCAAUGGGGAGAGACGCUGCAGAGCAGACGCCUCGCUGAGGGACUCUGGUGAGGGCCCCCGAGCGGGGACACGGGCAGAGCCCCCAGAGCAGCCGGUCACCGAGGGCUCAGAGAAGGACUCGCACCAACGGUGGACGCUGCCAGCUCUGGACAACAACUGGCAGUUCGCCAAUCAGGGAGCAGAGAGAGCAUCAUCGGUAUCACACAACCAGUCACAAUGACCAGCGUGUACUUGGAGAGAACGCCAGAGUCGUGAACAACGGGGAAACUGAAACACUGAUCAUUUCCUGCAAUUAACAACCCCCCGGGAAGAUGAUGACAAUUCAUUCUGACAAACAACUCCCAAUUAAUGCCCAUGAACAGUUUAAACUCCCAUUGGCCUGGUGGUUCUUUUUCAUACUACAAAUUUCCAUCUACUUCACCAUAUGUACAGAAGUCAUCAUCUAACUUUUCAGACAUACUGCAUUAAAACUCCCUCAGCUCAGACUCCAGGCGGCUCUCCGGUGUGUGGGGCAGCUAGAACCACUGCAACAGCAUGACUGCUUGCGUGAUACCUGACACAUAGAAUAAGAUUGAGUUGGAUAUAAAUGAUGACAAAUGACUGGCAUCAUGGUUAGUACUUCAACAAGAAUGAACGUGUGUAUACUUGGUAAGACUCCAGGCAGCAGAAGUACUAGCACCUGCACAUACCCCGUAUUCUGGAGGAUUUACCAAGAAUGCCAAUGCAAGGCAGAUGCUGUUUUCUUUCAUGCCCAAAUAUUU